rnacentral:rRNA from 1 species
GACGAACGCUGGCGGCGUGCUUAACACAUGCAAGUCGAACGGAAAGGCCCUGCUUUUGUGGGGUGCUCGAGUGGCGAACGGGUGAGUAACACGUGAGUAACCUGCCCUUGACUUUGGGAUAACUUCAGGAAAAUGGGGCUAAUACCGGAUAGGAGCUCCUGCUGCACAGUGGGGGUUGGAAAGAUUCGGCGGUUGGGGAUAGACUCGCGGCUUAUCAGCUUGUUUGUGGGGUAGUGGCUUACCAAGGCUUUGACGGGUAGCCGGCCUGAGAGGGUUACCGGGCACAUUGGGACUGAGAUACGGCCCAGAAUCCUACGGGAGGCAGCAGUGGGGAAUAUUGCACAAUGGGCGGAAGCCUGAUGCAGCAACGCCGCGUGCGGGAUGACGGCCUUCGGGUUGUAAACCGCUUUCGCCUGUGACGAAGCGUGAGUGACGGUAAUGGGUAAAGAAGCACCGGCUAACUACGUG